GAUGAACGCUGGCGGCGUGCCUAAUACAUGCAAGUCGAGCGAACAGACUAGGAGCUUGCUCCUCUGACGUUAGCGGCGGACGGGUGAGUAACACGUGGAUAACCUACCUAUAAGACUGGGAUAACUUCGGGAAACCGGAGCUAAUACCGGAUAAUAUAUUGAACCGCAUGGUUCAAUAGUGAAAGACGGUUUUGCUGUCACUUAUAGAUGGAUCCGCGCCGCAUUAGCUAGUUGGUAAGGUAACGGCUUACCAAGGCGACGAUGCGUAGCCGACCUGAGAGGGUGAUCGGCCACACUGGAACUGAGACACGGUCCAGACUCCUACGGGAGGCAGCAGUAGGGAAUCUUCCGCAAUGGGCGAAAGCCUGACGGAGCAACGCCGCGUGAGUGAUGAAGGUCUUCGGAUCGUAAAACUCUGUUAUUAGGGAAGAACAAAUGUGUAAGUAACUAUGCACGUCUUGACGGUACCUAAUCAGAAAGCCACGGCUAACUACGUG
rnacentral:rRNA from 1 species